rnacentral:lncRNA from 1 species
GGGCAAAUGGUCGAUCAAAUUACCUCUACACAACAAUUAGGGAUUUCAUGUUGUAGCAACUUGAAAUAGAACUACAAAAUAUUAAAUAUAUAAAUAGUUGUUGUCAUAUAUUUGACAAACUUAAUUUUUCAUGACAUGAUUUCAAUGAAAAACAAAAUCUACGGAUUAGAAAUUGGUAAAUUGGCUGGUUUGGAGGAACAAUAAUAUUUACAUCUGCAAGCUCUUGAUCCAUCUUUCUUAGCGAUACACUUUCCUGAAAUAAUAGUACGUCCUGUUUCUUUCGCACAAUAUCGAAAGCAUCCAUCUCUAAAUGCUAUUUCACAUAUUUUGGGUCCCCUCAACUCAAUCCAGCAUGAUUGUAUUCCAAUUCCAUGGACUCCUCGAAUGUUUCUCUCAUCUACAUUCACAAAAUUUAAAUUAAAAAAAAAUUAGCAACAAACAAAUUUACAGCUAAAAAUUAAAAUUUAUCGGUAAUUCUAUUUAUCGAUAAAUUAACGAUCAAGACAUUCAAUGAAAAAAUAAUAGGAAAAGGGAAAAUGAAAUAACUUCGUCCAAAAGAAAUGAGAGAGAGAGAUUUAAACUGUAUAAAAGCAUUUUAGUAAUGAAAAUCAUAGCUAAUUCUAAUUAUUUUUUUUUAAUAGUGAAUGGCUUCAAAAAUCGAAAUCGUACCCACCUGAGUUCAUGUUAUGGAAGUAGUAAGGAAAAGUUGAUUUUGUAGGUCCACUUAUAAUUUUUUUUUUUUUUAAUUAAUAGAUCUUUUAUAUAUUUGCAAAUAAAAGAUCUAAAAAAUUAUUUUUUUUAUUUAAUUUGUAAGUGACGAAGAUAUCUUAUUUCCUCUAAUUUCUAAGCAAAUUAACAAAAAAUUAUGAAUAUGAAUCUAUUUGAUUUUGUAGUCCUUUACAAAUAUAUUUUAAAUUUUAUGUCAUUUUAAAUAUCUAAGAUCAUUAUUUCACAUAUAAAAGAAUUGAAAAUAAAUUAUUUUCUUCGAUUAAAUUUAUAAAUAAUGAUAAGAGAUCAUUUUCUAGCAAUUUUGUGAGUUCAAAUUCAAUGGCCUCCCGGCCAAUUGUUGGGCUAUUGGAUUCUAUUUUUUUCCUUUUUAUAACUAUGUAAAAGAAAUUGAGGAAAAUUAUUGUGAGAAUUAACAGAAAAAAUAUACUUAGGUAAAAACAAAAAAUUCAUUAAUCAUAGGACCUGAUACAGCAGCCAAAAGGAUGAUUAAAACUACAAGUGAUCUCAUGGAAUUUGGCAUGAUAUAUCUUGGACCAAUGAAG